UAGAAGAGGGAAACACUUGCAAAGUCGC
rnacentral:sRNA from 1 species